AUCCUUGCUAACAUCUAGCAAUUAGAUGUUUAUCAUAGCACAAAGCUGGUGAUCACCGUGUAGGCAGGCCAGUACAUGCGACGGCGAUGAAGAGGAGACAACAGCCGCUCUUAGGAAGCGGGUGGCGGAAAGGAGAAUCAAAAUUCAAUUGGAGAUUUUCAUGGCGACGACUCGCCGGAAACUAUCGAUAUAUAAUAAUGCUACUGCUGGUCAUAGCUCUUGCUCCUCCCUUCUUCUUCCACUUACGUCUCACACGCUUUAAUCAGAUGCAAAAGAAGAAUUGUGGUUGGAUAAGAAACCCACCUCUCGUUUGUGCUCAUGGUGGUGACUCUACCAACGCUUUUCCUAACACGAGGGCCGCCUAUCGCAGUGCGCUUCAUUCUCGAGCAGACUGCAUUGAAAUUGACGUCUCUCUUUCAGCUGAUGGAGUCCUUUAUGCACUACAUGACAGGGAGUUGCAGCGGAUAUCUGGGAAUCAUACAUCUAGAGUUGGCUACUUAAGUGUCAAAGAAAUAAAUGAAUUGGAUGCAGCACCUCAGUUUCCGAAAGUUCUUGACGAUCAGAGAGUUCCCACUCUUGAAGAUGCUUUAAGGUUGGUGUCAGCUUCAGUAAGACAUGUCAUCUUGGACGCAAAAGUUGGGCCUCCAUCUUAUGGAAAAGGUCUUGCUGAGAAUAUUUUAGCUGUUGUCAAGAGAACAGAUUGCACAAAUUGCAUGAUAUGGGCAAAAAGUGACACUUUAGUGAGGGAAGUUAUUAGACUCUCACCAAACACAACGGUUGGAUAUAUUGUUAUGAAAGAUCCAACAACUGGAUCUAGAUCCAAUUUGCUGAGGAUGAAAAAGGCAGUGGUCGUUGGGGUUUACCAUCCACUAAUUGAUGAAAAGCUUGUCCAAAUUCUUCAUGGGAGAAACAAAAAGAUCUAUGCAUGGACGGUCGAUGACAUGGUUUCCAUGAUGGAUAUGUUAACAAAUAGUGUCGAUGCUGUUGUCACCAGUAAUCCAGCUCUUCUUCAGCAGCUCAUGCAAGAUACUAGAAUUCAGUGUCUUGAAGAAGGUUUUUCUUUGCCCUGAUGAUCAUGAUGCAGUUGAGUUUUCCUACUAAUCUUGUCCUAGCACAAGAAGACCAGAUCACCAAAGAGUACCUGUGUCAUCAGGUUUUCUCUACCAACGAUUGAAUUAAGAUUGAUGCUUCUAUCAGUAUCAUCUCUAGUUGUAUUAUUCACCACGAUUAUAUUCAGAUCAAUUCUGGAGUGCCUGAAUGCAGUUACAAGUUAUGAACCGAUUGGCGAUUGUACAAGGAGAAUUAAAGAUGACAAACAUCAGGGAUUCAGAUUGCUCUUGUUUAUGGUGGUUAUCCUGUUCACGUUGCUACGGGAAGUUCUAUUUAUCAGUGACAUAUGAUGCACCAGUUUUAAACACAUCUUGAGAUACCCUAAGUUGGUGAUACUUGGCUCUCAGGUCCAACUUUGUGAAGACUUGUGAACUAGCCAAUUCAUCAAUGAGUUGAUCCGCCACUAGAUAGGAUACUUGUCUUUGACGAUUCUAUUGUUGAGCUCCUUGUAAUCAAUACAGAGCCUCCAGUUGCUAUUUUUCUUUCCCACCAGCACUACAGGGGAGGCAAAAGGGUGGUUGUCUCAGUGUGAUGCAUUCAUCGUUCAUUUCUUUGAUGAGUUGCUCAAUUAUAUCCCUGUGUUUGAUUGGAUAUAUGUAUGGCCUUAUAUUAACAGGUUGAGAUGUUGUUAGUAAAGAAAUCUUAUGAUCAAAGACUCUUCUAAUUGGGGGUAAACAACUAGGUUAUAUGAAGAUACUAUGGAAGGUGUCCAACAAUGUAGAUAGUUGUGGAUAUGAGCUGGGCUCAACCUGUUGUGCGGAAUAGGUGAUGUGGUUGGGGAAAUGAGUAGUAGAGGAAUUCACUUGGAGCAAACACACAUGAGCAGCAGUUCGUAUCAUCUUUGAAAUUGUUGAACUAUCCAUAGCCUUCAAAUUUAGGUGGUACCACCCAGAACAUGCGACUUGUUGGCAGAAGUAAACUCCAUUUUCAGCUGUCUAAAAUUUCACUUGACUGUGCCUGAAGUAUUAAGCCAUUGGACUUCUAGUACUAUGUCACUUCCACCAAGGGGGGUCAUAAGAGCAUAUGUUGUAAAUUUGGCAAACGGCAGUUGCCAGGUGAAGCCCUUGCACACCAAUGAGCAUGAGAGCUGGUUGCCAUUAGCCACUGCGUGAGGGUGAACGGGUUCUAGCUUGCACCCAAGUUUUUGAGCAAGUCCCUGAUCAAGGAAGUUGUGAGUGCUUCCAUAAUGAAUUAAGAUAUGUAUAAGCUUCUUACCAUAGUAACAUGUGACUCUCAUUGUUUGGAAGCCUUGGCUUCCUGCUAAGUGCAUUCAUGGAAAUGCAUGGUUCAGUGGUCACUGAAUUAAACCCAACAUUUACUUCUACUAAAGCUUCUUUUGACAAUCAUUUUCAAAGUUCAAUUUAUCUUUAGUGCCGCGGAUUUCAAUAGUGGACAACUGAGUUUGUUUGAAUUGGCACUUGUGAUUCCCAUUACGAAAGAAGCAUAAUCCCUUAGCCUGCUUUCAGCUUUCUCAACAUAGCUCAAUCUUCUUAGGCUUUGUUGUGGUGUUAUUGUUGAAAUGUUGGUGGUGCAGGUAAUAAAGGUGGAAGAGGUGGUGGAGUGUGUUUAGGUGAAGGUAAUAGGGGUUUUUGGUGAGGUGUGGAAUAAUUGCCUCAGGAGAUCCUAAAUAGUAGCGCGCUCCGUUACUGGUAAUUCACGUAAGUGUGUCUGCACCCCUUGAGUGGAUGAGAAAGAAAGGAUUUCUUGGAGCGUGGAUUCAGUUUGAAGGCUUACACAAAGGGUUUCAGGUGAGGCCUGAAUCCUCCAAUGAAGCUAUCAAGGAAUUAUUGAUUAGGUAGUAAGGGGUUUUUGCUCACCAUCACUGCUCUUAACCUUUCAAAUGAGUCCAAGACUCCAAGUAAUCCUCUAUGGAAUCAAUUUGUUCAAGUUCAUUAAACUCUUCUAUAUUAGUACCACUAAUCUCUUCUUUAAGUCUGGCACAUAAAUCCAUCACAAAUUCUUCUCAUUCAAUAUAACUCUAACAGUAAUAUAAUUAUGAAAAUAAGAAUCUGCUAUACCAGUCAUGUGCACACUAGCCAAAUCUACUUUCUGAUAAUAAGAUAUCUUACAAAGCGUACAAUAUUUCAAGCAUUUCUUCAUCCAUAAUUUAGGACCAUUACCAUCAAACAUAGGAUACUCGAAGUUUAUACCUCGCCAUCCAUCGUUGAAAGUGUUUUAUGAAUUUUUCGCUUCCUUUGCUUUAUCCUUCAAUAAGCUGAGAAUUUCAUAUAACGCAUAGGAAUGGGCAAUCAGAUGUUGCUCCAAUAUAUUGAUCCUUUCAUCAAAUUGUGCCUUGAGCUAAUUUGCAGUCAGAUUUCUUGUCACAAGUGCCAGAUUUCACAAGAAAAU